rnacentral:rRNA from 1 species
UACGUAGGGACCAAGCGUUGUUCGGAUUUACUGGGCGUAAAGGGCGCGUAGGCGGCUUGGGAAGUCUGUGGUGAAGCUCGUGGCUCAACUGCGAGUCGGCCAUAGAUACGUCCUAAGCUCGAGUCGACUAGAGCAGAUGGAAUUCCGGGUGUAGCGGUGGAAUGCGUAGAGGAAUCCGGAAGAACACCGGUGGCGAAGGCGG